rnacentral:lncRNA from 1 species
CAUUUACUUGACCCACCUUGAUUUAUUAAGCACAUGUUUCUAAGAAAAUAUUCAUCAGAUUACAAAGAAACAAAAAGACCGCCUGUACCUAAAGCUGUCUCCAUCAAGUUUCUUAGAGAAAAUGUAUUCCUGGGGUUAAACGACACACUUGUGAAUGGAAUUUCUCAGCAUAAUCCCAAACUUUGGAACAGCUUAUGCAAAUUAAUACUCUGUACAUUUCAGCAAACAUUUGCUGGUUGAUUGCUGUCCUAUGAGUCCUGCAAACGUGGAGAAGAUGUGGUCCCUGUCCUGUGGUGAGCCACCAGGUCCCUUUUCAGUGAAGGGCUGCCCAGCCCAGCUGCUUGGGCACUCUGACGGCCCCGCCAAGGCCCACCUGGGCUGCAGAAAGCCUCGUCACCCAAGGUGGACCCCCACCGCCGGUGGCCCUCAUCCAGUGAUUACAGUGGCUGAUCUGUGUGUGGACAUAAAGGCCUGGCCGGCUCACCCUAAGUCCUAAGGGCCAUUCUGGCAUGGGGGGCCCUGUGGGCUCUGCAGAGGCUGCUGUUGACUCGCUUGGUGACCUCUCCUCCUGCCUCCUCCAACUUCCCUCCCACCCCACUGCAGCCAUCAGGGCAUUUGUGAGUGGGCACAACACCCUGCUGCAAAACUCGGUCUCCAAGAGAUGGCUUCCUGGAGAGCCUACUCUGCGCCACCUAGUAAUGGGGCCCUGGGAAAGCAAGGUCUAUGCAACCGUGUGCUGAGGGCUGGGAUACAAGAGAGCUGCCUGCCGUGCCUCUUAGAGACGUGACAGAGAAGAAGGAACCUGGACCCUGCGCGGGCACUGGAAGAGUGUCACGCAUGACUACCAGAAAGAUGGUGUUUGAGAUAAUCUUUGAACUUUGGUACCCUGGAAAAUCGAUGGGCUGGUGAGCUCUGCCCAGGAUUGGCAUCCCUCCUGUAAUCACAGGGAAUGAGCAAAAGGCCAUUCUCAGAAGGAAGGGUAUCCCCAACAAGGAAGUGAGGUGGGGUUGCAGGGAGGUGGGAGGCAGGUGAUGAGCGAUGGAGUGCAUGAGCAGAGUGAUGGAGGCAAGAGCAGAGUGAUGGAGUGCGCGAGCAGAGUGAAGGAGUGCACGAGCAGAGUGAUGGAGGCAAGAGCAGAGUGAUGGAGUGCACGAGCAGAGUGAUGGAGUGCACGAGCAGAGUGAAGGAGUGCACGAGCAGAGUGAUGGAGGCAAGAGCAGAGUGAUGGAGUGCACGAGCAGAGUGAAGGAGUGCACGAGCAGAGUGAUGGAGGCAAGAGCAGAGUGAUGGAGUGCACGAGCAGAGUGAUGGAGGCAAGAGCAGAGUGAUGGAGUGCACGAGCAGAGUGAAGGAGUGCACGAGCAGAGUGAUGGAGGCAAGAGCAGAGUGAUGGAGGCAAGAGCAGAGUGAAUCAGUGCACGAGCAGAGUGAAGGAGUGCACAAGCAGAGUGAUGGAGUGCACGAGCAGAGUGAUGGAGGCAAGAGCAGAGUGAUGGAGUGCACGAGCAGAGUGAUGGACGCAAGAGCAGAGUGAUGGAGUGCACGAGCAGAGUGACGGAGUGCACACGUGGACACUACUCCAUAGGUCAGAAUCCCGGAUGCUUAACUUACUGGCUGAGUGCUGUGGGCAAGUUAUCUAUUAGAAUUCUCAGUCUCCUCAUCUGUAAAAGGUAGCGUAAAUGCAUCCUGACCUCACAGGGCUGCCGUUGUAUAAAGCAGAUAGUGCUGUAGAGUGUUCAGCGUCGUUCUUGGCAGACAAUAAGCACUCUGUAAAUAUGAACGACUCUUACUAAGGAGGUGAGAGUCCCAGGUCUUAGCUUUACGUGGCUGUUGAGGGAAGGAGAAGAGAGAGUGCUUUAGGUGAUGGCUUAGUUUCUGAUGAAUUUCUGUUCCUCUUCCAAGGCUUAAUUCAGAUGUCACUUCCCCCAGCAAGUCUUUCUUCAUCCCUGAGCUGCCUCCCGCGUAAUGUGUUUCCAUGAUCAGGUUUGCUCUCAUGUCCCUGUCGAUGGUAUCGUAACUUGGAGUUCUUGUCGUGACUCCACCACCACUUAAAAAAGACUUUGGUAUAUUAGCAAAAUGAAAACC